UAGGCAAACAGUUUUAUUUCUAUAUCGACAUGCCUGGAUUUGAUAAGGUCAGCUAUGAGCUGUGUAGUCUGUCUAACUUAUGAUGUAUCUUUCUUGUGUUAUUUGAGAACAUCGUUCACAAUUAGCCUGUUAGAAACGUGCCAAUCAACCCAAUUGUACAUCUUUUCGGGGCUUAGUCAAUGCGGGUAUUAACUGUAGAAAUGAUGGUUAUCUUUCUGUAUUGUUAGUCUUAUUAUUAUAUCUCAGUUUGUCUGCCAGUGCCUGCAGCUCGUUCUUUGCCUUUUUCAGCGCUUAAGAUUCUCUUGGAAUGUCGGCCGACCCCAGGUGCGCCCCGUCGGCAUCCCGGGGCGGGGCCGCCCCGACGCCUCUUAAGCUCCGCCGGAGGCCGCAAGGAGCUGCGAGAGAGCUGCUGCGGUUCGCUGCGUGCGGGAGUGGUCGGCGGUCCUUCGUUCGGUCCUUGCGCCGUUGGGGUGGAAUAGCGGCUGGAGGGAGGUCUCUCCUGAAGAGAGAUUCAGCCCUAAUCGGUGAGCCGUUCCGGUAGCAACGGGACCGCGGAGGAGGCGAGCGCUCUGGAGGCGUUCGGGACCGUCCGCCCGCAGCAAGAGGCCGUCCCGUUCUCGCCGCGCUCCGUUCGGGGCUGGCGCGGAGCUCCCGCCGGGCUCCCCGGGCUUUUCUUCGUCUCCGCUCGGCUGCUGUCUACUUUCGGGGGGGCCGCCGCGCGGUUCCCCGACUCCUAGCGUAGCCGUGGAAUGUUUUCAGCCUUUCCAGGGCUUUGUAGAGAGCGGUUCAGUUUCUGCUGCUCUCAUCGAUGGGAACGAGCGGGACGAGGCCGUAUUCCUGCGGCCUCGGCGGUGCUGGGAGUAAGAAGCAACGCCAAGGGCUGCUAAAACGUGAGCUUUUUUC